rnacentral:rRNA from 1 species
UGGGGAAUCUUGGUCAAUGGACGAAAGUCUGAACCAGCGACACCGCGUGGGGGAUGAAAGCCUUCGGGUUGUAAACCCCUUUUCUGGGGAAAGAAUAAGGACGGGAGGAAAUGCCCGUCCGAUGACGGUACUCCAGGAAUAAGCAUCGGCUAACUCUGUGCCAGCAGCCGCGGUAAGACAGAGGAUGCAAGCGUUAUCCGGAAUUACUGGGCGUAAAGGGCGUCUAGGCGGUUCGGUAAGUCGUUUGUGAAAUCCCUUGGCUCAACCAAGGAGGGUCUUGCGAUACUGCCGAGCUUGGGUGCAGGAGAGGAGAGUGGAACUCACAGAGUAGCGGUGGAAUGCGUAGAUACUGUGAGGUACCCCGAUGGCGAAGGCAACUCUCUGGCCUGCUACCGACGCUGAAGCGCGAAAGCGUGGGGAGCAAAGGGG